UUAACAGUCCUUGUGAGGUAAGUUCUCUAGUUAUCUGCAGCACCGGCAACAGCAGUGCAUGCUUCCCCACAAUGUCCUACCUAAUGUGCCUUCAGCCUGAGCUAGGGGGAACAUCUCUGGGGAGAAAGGGUAAUUUAAUCACUAUCUAUUCAAAUCCUUGA
rnacentral:sRNA from 1 species